UACGUAGGGGGCAAGCGUUGUCCGGAAUUAUUGGGCGUAAAGAGCGUGUAGGUGGUUAGUUAAGUCCGCUGUGAAAUCUCGAGGCUCAACUUCGAGCUGUCGGUGGAAACUAUCUGGCUAGAGUCCGGAAGAGGAGAAUGGAAUUCCUGGUGUAGCGGUGAAAUGCGCAGAUAUCAGGAAGAACACCCGUGGCGAAGGCGGUUCUCUGGGACGGUACUGACGCUGAGACGCGAAAGCGUGGGGAGCGAACAGG
rnacentral:rRNA from 1 species